UACGUAGGGUGCGAGCGUUAAUCGGAAUUACUGGGCGGUAAAGCGUGCGCAGGCUGUUCUGUAAGUCAGAUGUGAAAUCCCCGAGCUCAACUUGGGAACUGCGUUUGAAACUACAGGACUAGAAUAUGUCAGAGGGGGGUAGAAUUCCACGUGUAGCAGUGAAAUGCGUAGAGAUGUGGAGGAAUACCAAUGGCGAAGGCAGCCCCCUGGGAUAAUAUUGACGCUCAUGCACGAAAGCGUGGGGGAGCAAACAGG
rnacentral:rRNA from 1 species